AUUGAACGCUGGCGGCAGGCCUAACACAUGCAAGUCGAGCGGAUGACGGGAGCUUGCUCCUUGAUUCAGCGGCGGACGGGUGAGUAAUGCCUAGGAAUCUGCCUGGUAGUGGGGGACAACGUUUCGAAAGGAACGCUAAUACCGCAUACGUCCUACGGGAGAAAGCAGGGGACCUUCGGGCCCUGCGCUAUCAGAUGAGCCUAGGUCGGAUUAGCUAGUUGGUGGGGUAAUGGCUCACCAAGGCGACGAUCCGUAACUGGUCUGAGAGGACGAUCAGUCACACUGGAACUGAGACACGGUCCAGACUCCUACGGGAGGCAGCAGUGGGGAAUAUUGGACAAUGGGCGAAAGCCUGAUCCAGCCAUGCCGCGUGUGUGAAGAAGGUCUUCGGAUUGUAAAGCACUUUAAGUUGGGAGGAAGGGCAGUAAGUUAAUACCUUGCUGUUUUGACGUUACCGACAGAAUAAGCACCGGCUAACUCUGUGCCAGCAGCCGCAGUAA
rnacentral:rRNA from 1 species